CUCACUUGGAAAGUAAGAUUUCAAAGAUCUUUGCCAAUUCGUGAUGAGUUGUUUACGCGAGGUUUAUAGUUUGGUCGAUUACAUGUUUUGAUUUUCGUAGCUGUUUGGUUUUAUAUAUGCAUGAUAAUUCUCAUGACUUUGAUUAGCACUUCUUUCUUUCCUCAGGUACAAGCAUAAACUUUUUGGAUCAUGGAAUUGCAAACAAAUCUCAAACCAAACUGAGUUAUGAUCAUCAAUCGAUCGACCGUGCGGCCUUAUUAUAUUUGCAUGAUGUGUUCUAUAUUAUGGAGUCUAUGAAGAUUAUUCAUCGGCCGCGACGUGGUCCGGAUCGUAUGAAAAAGGGGGCACAAGUCGAUAUGGACUGGAAGAUGUGUUUCCGGACUUAUAAUUAUCAUUAUCGUGUUAUCGAUAUCUCGAUGUAUUUUUAGGUUUUGGUUAUGAUAUCUUUGUUUACUAUACUAAAUUCGUAUUAGUAAACGAAAUCUUUUCCGUAUUAAUGAAUGAAAUACUUUUGAAUA